UACGAGAGGGGCGAGCGUUGUUCGGAAUUAUUAAGCGUAAAGGGCACGUAGACGGUUGGAUAAGUCUUAUGUGAAAUCUUCGAACUCAACUCGAAAUCUGCACGAGAAACUAUCUGGCUUGAGUGUGGGAGAGGUGAGUGGAAUUCCUGGUGUAGCGGUGAAAUGCGUAGAUAUCAGGAGGAACACCUGUGGCGAAAGCGGCUCACUGGACCACAACUGACGCUGAGGCGCGAAAGCGUGGGGAGCAAACAGG
rnacentral:rRNA from 1 species